rnacentral:lncRNA from 1 species
GCAUUAAGGCGCCGGGUUUCCGGGGCUCCUGGCCCCGCUUAUUCCGCGGGGGUCGGCGGGGUCGGCCUGGGCGCCCGCGCCGCCGCUGCGCUUUGUCCGCUGGGCACACUGCUUCUGGGAGGGGCGGGCAGACAUGGUGGCGGCCGCCGCCCCCUCCUCGGCCCUAGCAUGCCGCGGCCGCCUCGCGGCUACCCGGCUUGCCGGUCCCGAGCGGCAGCCCCGGGGUGGCGAUGGGGUCGCGCCGAGGCAGCGGAGGUUCUGCGGGCGACUGGAGGUUGGCAGUGGGCGGGAGAAAGAGGAAGGCAGGCGCGGCUGGGCCUCGGCCUCUGGCGCCGCGGUACCCUUUGUCUCGGCAGCCUGACGGCCCCGCCGGGCUCUCCGGAGAGGGGAACGGGCGGCGAGGGUGGCGGGUCCUGGGCGCCCUGUGCUGCGGGGCCGAGAGGCGCUCGGGUCGCGGCGGGAUCGGCCGGACCAGACAGGGUUAAUGGAAGAGCCUGGCCAGUCCCGCGCGGGGCCCCCGCAGCGACAGCCUUGGCCGCGGGGACUGGAGUCCUGAGGGGGAGAAGCCUGCCGUUCUGAAGGCUCGGGACUUCUGCCCCAAAGACUUCGCCGCCGAGAACUGCGGGUGCACUGCCUCAGGGAAGAAGUUGAGAAUUUUGCCAGGUCAUCUCUGCCAGGGCACAGUUCAUCACUGUGUGUUUAGUGUGUUUCGGUGAAGCUCUCCAAGUGUGUUGAAUCAGCGUGCCUAGCCUCAAGGGUGCAUCGUGAAAACUGAAACCAAAGGAAUGAUACAGGCCUGCUUUGUGUGUGUCUUCCCACUUUAAGCUUGUUUUCAGUACAAAUACUCUUGCUUUAAACCUGAUUGGACUGUGGCGAGCGGACAUCUGUUCAAAGGAGGGGCCGAGACCACAGUACUUCUGAAGGGGGCUUGAUAAUGUGGAAACAUUUUAAGUUUUCUCUCCGGACUGUUUUGCUCUCUCAAUUCAGGCAAGUUACUGAACACUUCCCAUGUAUCCAAACAGAGGAAAAAAUAAUUAGUAGUAUAGUGCUUGCUUCAGCAGCACAUAUACUAAAAUUGGAACGAUGCAGAGAAGAUUUUCAUGGUCCCUGCACAAGGAUGA